GCGCACAGUGGCUUAGUGGUUAGCACGUUUGCCUCACACCUCCAGGGUCCGGGGUUCGAUACCCCCCGUGUGUGCG